rnacentral:lncRNA from 1 species
CACAGAACAUAUCUCAUUCUUUAAAUGCCUGAACCCAAAUGAGUAUAGGUGAAGGGAACGGAAACAUCAAGUGCACUACACCGUAGAUAGUAACAGCAAAUAAAUGGGUUCCUCAAAUUAGCAUCACACCAGUAUGAUGAAGAACUGACCCAAUCUAUAAGAAUGAUGGCAAAACAAUCAACGACAACCCAAAUUAGUAUGAUGAAGAAGAUGAAGAUUUUUGAGAGCUCGACUCCGAACUUAAUUUACCAAUCAACUUCUUGGCAGACAUCUUCGUCUGAAGGAAACUGCUGAUCACUGAAUCGAAGACCACCAUCGUCAAGUUCAGGGUCGACAUUCAUCCUGUCAUUCGAUUGAUAUUAAACAACAACCACGAAUCCUGUCAGUUGAUUCAAUCUGGUUGCUGGUUUCCUCUUUCCCUUCGAUAACAAACACUCACUACAGCCCAGACACCAGAUUUUUUUUUUUACAUCUGUUUACAACGAAAAAAUUAAAUAUAAUCCGAACCAAAAUACAUCUGUGUAUUUACCUCCAUAAUCUUACCCCGUAUUUACCCUAACCCCUAAAUAUUAACCCCGUAUUUACGCUAACUCUAUACAUAUCAGAUAACCCACGUGUGGCCUCUAUCUCGUCGACACGUGGACAAACAUACUGGGUGCAGCACCCUGUGGGUACAUUCUAGACGUCUCACUUAGCUAGCUCUCAUCGUUUUCCUUGGAUCCAGUUUCUUCUCUCUUCUCACACACAGUUUCUUUUCCGGUAAGGCCAUCUUAAACUUUUAAAAUAAGGAUGUUUUAGUUCUAGCAUGUAUUUUGACAAUCAAAGCCACACAUUUCCUAAUUAUUUACUCACAUAUGAAGUAUACAAAAAAUUAGCCAAAAUGAAAAACGUUUAACCAUUUGAUUAACACAAUAUUCGUUUUAAUUUUAUUUAACGGCCUACAAUUGUUUACAUCAAUUUGAAUGAUCAAAUGAUCAUGCAAUUAGUUAAAAUUUUGUAGACAUGUUUCUUGCAUAUGAAUAUAGAGGAUCAACAGUUGAGAUCGUUAAAAGAAGUCAUCUACUAAUGUAAAAUAGUAGAAAUCCUCAAAUUCUUAAAGUAAGGAGGUCUUCUUUAUAUAUA